rnacentral:lncRNA from 1 species
CGCCGGAGGUGCCCGGCCCUCUGCUGCCAUGCCAUGGGCAGGGUGCCCUCCAGCCGGCAGCUCGCCCCGCCGGCCCUUCUGUGUCUGUGCACCCAGAGCUCACCUGCAGCAGCUCCUCCAGCAGAUUCACACGCUGCAGAUCUGUUAAUGUCCCGCUGGCAAACUGGGCCCGCAUUGCUGCACCACUCGCACAGCUCCUCGCUGGACCAGAACCAACCGCAAAAUGAGGCAGGCAGGUUCCGCGCUGACCCACUGCCCCUGCCCCACCCCAGGGCAUCUGUGAGGUCAUCACGUCAUGGUGACAUCACCCGCACAGGAGGGUCCUGGAAGAUCAUAGAACCAUAGGAUGGUCCGUGUUGGAAGGGUCCUGGAAGAUCAUAGAACUGCAGGACGGCGUGGCUUGGGAGGUUCCUUAGUGAUCACAGAACCAUAGAAUGGUUUGUGUUGCAAGAGUCCUGGAAGAUGAUAGAACCACAGGAUGGUGUGGCUUGGAAGGGUCCUGGAAGAUCAUAGAAUCACAGAAUGGUUCUUUGAAACAGCUGUGAAGGAUCUGUGAGCAAAUCCGCCGUCAGUAGUUGGUGCCGCGGGAAGGCCUGAGGUCCGACCUUUCCUCCAACGGCUUCAGUGUAACUUUGGAAAGACAGUGCUCACACCUGGUUUGUUCUAUCUGCCAGGACGUCUGUUCCCUCAGAUGGCAUUUCUGGAGUCGGUUUCCCCAGCUCCGGAAAGAAGGGUUUGUGUUAGGGUUAGGAUUAUCAUUAAGUUUACCAUUACGGUUAGUGCUGGAGUUAGGGCUAUGGUUAGGGCUAGGGUUUGGCUUAGGGUUAGGCUUAGGCUUAGGGCUAUGGAUUGGGUUAGGGUUAGCUGUUGGCUUAGGUUUAGGAUUAGGGAUUGCCUUAGGUUUAGGAUUAGGUGUUGGUUUAGAUGUUGGGCUAGGGUUAGGGUUUGGGUUAGGCGUUGGUUUAGGUCUCCCCGGGGCCCUCUCUUCUCCAAGCUGAACAAGCCCAGUUCCCUCAACCUUUCCUCACAGGAGAGGUGCUCCAGCCCUCUGGCCAUCUUAGUGGCCCUCCUCUGGACCUGCUCCAAGAGCGCCACGUCCUUCCUGUGCUGGGGGCUCCAGGCCUGGACGCGGU